rnacentral:rRNA from 1 species
GAACGCUGGCGGCGUGCCUAAUACAUGCAAGUAGAACGCUGAAGAGAGGAGCUUGCUCUUCUUGGAUGAGUUGCGAACGGGUGAGUAACGCGUAGGUAACCUGCCUUGUAGCGGGGGAUAACUAUUGGAAACGAUAGCUAAUACCGCAUAACAAUGGAUGACACAUGUCAUUUAUUUGAAAGGGGCAAAUGCUCCACUACAAGAUGGACCUGCGUUGUAUUAGCUAGUAGGUGAGGUAACGGCUCACCUAGGCGACGAUACAUAGCCGACCUGAGAGGGUGAUCGGCCACACUGGGACUGAGACACGGCCCAGACUCCUACGGGAGGCAGCAGUAGGGAAUCUUCGGCAAUGGGGGCAACCCUGACCGAGCAACGCCGCGUGAGUGAAGAAGGUUUUCGGAUCGUAAAGCUCUGUUGUAAGUCAAGAACGAGUGUGAGAGUGGAAAGUUCACACUGUGACGGUAGCUUACCAGAAAGGGACGGCUAACUACGUGCCAGCAGCCGCGGUAAUACGUAGGUCCCGAGCGUUGUCCGGAUUUAUUGGGCGUAAAGCGAGCGCAGGCGGUUUGAUAAGUCUGAAGUUAAAGGCUGUGGCUCAACCAUAGUUCGCUUUGGAAACUGUCAAACUUGAGUGCAGAAGGGGAGAGUGGAAUUCCAUGUGUAGCGGUGAAAUGCGUAGAUAUAUGGAGGAACACCGGUGGCGAAAGCGGCUCUCUGGUCUGUAACUGACGCUGAGGCUCGAAAGCGUGGGGAGCGAACAGGAUUAGAUACCCUGGUAGUCCACGCCGUAAACGAUGAGUGCUAGGUGUUGGAUCCUUUCCGGGAUUCAGUGCCGCAGCUAACGCAUUAAGCACUCCG